rnacentral:rRNA from 1 species
CCUACGGGUGGCAGCAGUGGGGAAUAUUGGACAAUGGGGGCAACCCUGAUCCAGCCAUGCCGCGUGUGUGAAGAAGGCCCUCGGGUUGUAAAGCACUUUCAGUGAGGAAGAACGCCUGGUGGUUAAUACCCAUCAGGAAAGACAUCACUCACAGAAGAAGCACCGGCUAACUCCGUGCCAGCAGCCGCGGUAAUACGGAGGGUGCGAGCGUUAAUCGGAAUUACUGGGCGUAAAGCGCGCGUAGGUGGCUUGAUAAGCCGGUUGUGAAAGCCCCGGGCUCAACCUGGGAACGGCAUCCGGAACUGUCAAGCUAGGGUGCAGGAGAGGAAGGUAGAAUUCCCGGUGUAGCGGUGAAAUGCGUAGAGAUCGGGAGGAAUACCAGUGGCGAAGGCGGCCUUCUGGACUGACACUGACACUGAGGUGCGAAAGCGUGGGUAGCAAACAGGAUUAGAUACCCGAGUAGUC